UACGAAGGGUGCAAGCGUUACUCGGAAUUACUGGGCGUAAAGCGUGCGUAGACGGUCAUGCAAGUCGGAUGUGAAAGCCCCGGGCUCAACCUGGGAAUUGCGUUUGAUACUGUCGGACUAGAGUUUGGUAGAGGGAAGUGGAAUUCCACGUGUAGCGGUGAAAUGCGUAGAUAUCAGAAGGAAGGCCGGUGGCGAAGGCGGCUUCCUGGAACAGUCCUGACACUGAGAGACGAAAGCGUGGGGAGCAAACAGG
rnacentral:rRNA from 1 species